UGGGGAAUUUUGCACAAUGGGGGAAACCCUGAUGCAGCGACGCCGCGUGAUUUAGAAGGCCUUCGGGUUGUAAAAAUCUUUUCUAUGGGAAGAAAAUGACAGUACCAUAGGAAUAAGGACCGGCUAAUUACGUGCCAGCAGCCGCGGUAAUACGUAAGGUCCGAGCGUUGUCCGGAAUCAUGGGGCGUAAAGGGUACGUAGGCGGGUAAGCAAGUUAGAAGUGAAAUCCUAUAGCUCAACUAUAGUAAGCUUUUAAAACUUCUCAACUUGAGGUAUGGAAGGGAAAGUGGAAUUCCUAGUGUAGCGGUGAAAUGCGCAGAUAUUAGGAGGAAUACCGGUGGCGAAGGCGACUUUCUGGCCAUAACCUGACGCUGAGAUACGAAAGCGUGGGUAGCAAACAGG
rnacentral:rRNA from 1 species